UCGUUUUAUGUCGCCCGCCACAUCAUUUUAUAUGGCCUCCUUUAUCGUUUUAUGUCGCCCGCCACAUCAUUUUAUAUGGCCUACUUUAUCGUUUUGUCGCCCGCCACCUCAUUUUAUAUGGCCUCCUUUAUCGUUUUAUGUCGCCCGCCAAAUCAUUUUAUAUGGCCUCCUUUAUCGUUUUAUGUCGCUCGCCAAAUCAUUUUUUAUGGCCUCCUUUAUCGUUUUGUCACCCGUCACAUCAUUUUAUAUGGCCUCCUUUAUCAUUUUAUGUAACCUGUCACAUCAUUUUAUAUGGCCUCCUUUAUCGUUUUGUCGCCCGCCACAUCAUUUUAUAUGGCCUCCUUUAUCAUUUUAUGUCGCCCGCCAAAUCAUUUUAUAUGGCCUCCUUUAUCGUUUUAUGUCGCCCGCCACAUCAUUUUAUAUGGCCUCCUUUAUCGUUUUAUGUCGCCCGCCACAUCAUUUUAUAUGGCCUACUUUAUCGUUUUGUCGCCCGCCACCUCAUUUUAUAUGGCCUCCUUUAUCGUUUUAUGUCGCCCGCCAAAUCAUUUUAUAUGGCCUCCUUUAUCAUUUUAUGUCGCCCGCCAAUAAUUUUAUAUGGCCUCCUUUAUCGUUUUGUCACCCGUUUUACAGCCACUGUCAGAAUAAUGUAUCUAAGUUAUCACAAAACUUUGUGUUUCCAUGAGUUCCUGGCGAGAGGACAAAAGCUGUCUUUGAUCCUACCAAGCAAAAGGGCUUGUAAAACUCCUCUGUGUAGGAGGGGAGGAGACAGGAGGGGUUCAGUUUCUUUGAUCUAUUGUAAUCCACAGGAAGAUCUUGUCUUGACCCGAGAGCUACAAAGCGGGGAGGAAGCAGGACCUGACCCACCUCCAGGCAUCUUUUUCUUUAACUUUUUUGUGACCAAUGGCGACGGCUGUUUACGACCCCCCGUCCCCUUAAAAUCAGCUGUUGCUACGUAAUCAGGCAAAGUCCAAAUAAAAGAGGAGGCGUGCAAUCCUCUUGCCUGGACGUGGUGGAAGACUGUACAGAGAAUACAGCCCAGACGUUUCUCUUCAGUGAGCUAAUUUGAAUUCUGUCUCUGUUUAAUUCCUUGCUUCUUGUCUGUUUUAAUAGAUGUCAUCAGUGUUUGAACCUGACAGACACCGUUUGGAAACAUUUAAGGGUGUACCCCGCCUUCCGCCCGAAUGCAGCUGUGAUAGGCUCUGCGCCCCCCCAAAAAGGGACAAGCGUGUCUCAGGUGGAAAUGAAAGCCGUCCCACCUUCCUGGUAGUUGUGCGCUCCGUCUGGAAGAGCCAGGAAAGGAAGGUACUUCCACUCCUCGGGCAGCCUGUUGCUGUCGUGACCUUCGUGCGGCAUCAGCGGCGGGUAGGAAAACUCCACCUGCCGUGAAAACGGAGGAAAAUAUUGUAGGUGGCAAUGAUGAAUCAGCAGUUUACACACACUUUGUUUUUUUUAAAUAACUAUGCAAUUACUCCUCAUUGUCUUGUUCUGCUUUAAAAAAAUUAACAUUCCAUGGUUUUUCACAGGAGGUCCCGGAAGUACAGUAAACUGCAAAAACUGCAAUCUAAGUACAAA